GACGAACGCUGGCGGCGUGCUUAACACAUGCAAGUCGAACGAAGUGGCGAACGGGUGAGUAACGCGUAAUCAACCUGCCCUUCAGAGGGGGACAACAGUUGGAAACGACUGCUAAUACCGCAUACUGAAGGAGGGGAUUGCGUCCGAUUAGCUAGUUGGAGGGGUAACGGCCCACCAAGGCGAUGAUCAGUAGCCUGUCUGAGAGGAUUGACGGCCACAAUGGGACUGGGGAACGGCCCAGACUCCUUCGGGGGGCAGCAGUGGGGAAUCUUCCGCAAAUGGCGAAAGGCUGACGGAGCAAAGCCGCGUGAGUGAUGACGGCCUUCGGGUUGUAAAGCUCUGUUAAUCGGGACGCGGUACCGGAAUAGAAAGCCACGGCUAACUACGUGCCAGCAGCCGCGGUAAUAC
rnacentral:rRNA from 1 species